rnacentral:rRNA from 1 species
UACGUAGGUGGCGAGCGUUAUCCGGAUUUACUGGGCGUAAAGGGAGCGUAGGCGGACUUUUAAGUGAGAUGUGAAAUACCCGGGCUCAACUUGGGUGCUGCAUUUCAAACUGGAAGUCUAGAGUGCAGGAGAGGAGAAUGGAAUUCCUAGUGUAGCGGUGAAAUGCGUAGAGAUUAGGAAGAACACCAGUGGUGAAGGCGAUUCUCUGGACUGUAACUGACGCUGAGGCUCGAAAGCGUGGGGGGCAAACAGGAUUAGAUACCCUGGUA